rnacentral:tRNA from 1 species
GUUUUUAUAGUUGAAAUACAACGAUGGUUUUUCAUAUCAUUAGUCAUGGUUAAUCCCGUGUAAGAACU